GACGAACGCUGGCGGCGCGCCUAACACAUGCAAGUCGAGCGAGAACCAGUCCUCGGGCGUGGGACGAGCGGCGAACGGGUGAGUAACACGUGGGUAAUCUACCCUCGGUUUGGGUAUAGCCCGGGGAAACCCGGAUUAAUACCGAAUGGCCUCUCGAGCUCUCGGGCUCGAGAAGAAAAGGUAGCUUCGGCCUCUGACCGAGGAUGAGCCCGCGGCCGAUUAGCUAGUUGGUGGGGUAAUGGCCCACCAAGGCGACGAUCGGUAGCUGGUCUGAGAGGACGAUCAGCCACACUGGGACUGAGACACGGCCCAGACUCCUACGGGAGGCAGCAGUGGGGAAUCUUGCGCAAUGGGCGAAAACCUGACGCAGCGACGCCGCGUGCGGGAAGAA
rnacentral:rRNA from 1 species